rnacentral:rRNA from 1 species
GACGAACGCUGGCGGCGUGCUUAACACAUGCAAGUCGAACGAUGAAGCCCAGCUUGCUGGGUGGAAGAGUGGCGAACGGGUGAGUAACACGUGAGUAACCUGCCCCGAACUCUGGGAUAAGCGCUGGAAACGGCGUCUAAUACUGGAUAUGCAUCAUGACCGCAUGGUCUGUGAUGGGAAAGAUUUAUCGGUUCGGGAUGGACUCGCGGCCUAUCAGCUAGAUGGUGAGGUAACGGCUCACCAUGGCGACGACGGGUAGCCGGCCUGAGAGGGUGACCGGCCACACUGGGACUGAGACACGGCCCAGACUCCUACGGGAGGCAGCAGUGGGGAAUAUUGCACAAUGGGCGAAAGCCUGAUGCAGCAACGCCGCGUGAGGGAUGACGGCCUUCGGGUUGUAAACCUCUUUUAGUAGGGAAGAACCGAAAGUGACGGUACCUGCAGAAAAAGCACCGGCUAACUACGUGCCAGCCGCCGCCGUAACAC